rnacentral:rRNA from 1 species
CGGGGUGCAGCAGGCGCGAAAACUUUACAAUGCGGGAAACCGUGAUAGGGGGACUCUGAGUGCCCGUAAAAUCGGGCUGUCCACCUGUUUAAAUAACAGGUGAAGAAAGGGCCGGGCAAGACCGGUGCCAGCCGCCGCGGUAAUACCGGCGGCUCGAGUGGUGGCCACUAUUACUGGGCUUAAAGCGUUCGUAGCUGGUUUGUUAAGUCUCUGGGGAAAUCUUCCGGCUCAACCGGAAGGCGUCUCAGGGAUACUGGCAGACUAGGGACCGGGAGAGGUGAGAGGUACUCCAGGGGUAGGAGUGAAAUCCUGUAAUCCUUGGGGGACCACCUGUGGCGAAGGCGUCUCACCAGAACGGCUCCGACAGUGAGGGACGAAAGCUGGGGGAGCAAACCGGAUUAGAUACCCGGGUAGUCCCAGCUGUAAACGAUGCACGUUAGGUGUAUCGGUGACCACGAGUCACCGAGGUGCCGAAGAGAAAUCGUGAAACGUGCCGCCUGGGAAGUACGGUCGCAAGGCUGAAACUUAAAGGAAUUGGCGGGGGAGCACAAGGGCGAUUCGCG